AUUCUCAUGAGUACUGUCCCAAGGACGUGAAUGUAGAUGGCUUGGUCUCCGGCAGAACUUGCUGUUUAAUCACUUGGAGGGAUUCUUUCUUCAUUAAAUGCCUCUGAUGGAGUCUUUCACGAGGGAUUUUAUCUGUGACUUGGACUAUUUUCACAGCUGAUGGCGAAGGAACUAUUAAGUGCCAUAUAACUCUUGAGCGAAAUUAAGUAGUUGGAGCUGUUUGGGGAUGUACAGGGGUAGGAUGACUGAUCUGGUAGUAUAUUUUGAUCUUAAGCCACCAAGGCAUCAAACACAUUCAACACAUUUUAUGGAUGAAAGAAAUUCCUACACUAUGAACCCUCUAAUGUAACCAAACACUAUACUGGAGAGCUGUCAAGCAUUCCCACAAUUAUCUUGUCAGGUUCAAGCUCUUUCUCCGGUUUGUCACAGUGUUCUGUUCAUAAUGCUGAUUCAAAUUGUAAUAUUAUGGGAUUGUUAUUCUGGACAGUGAAUGCUGGAUAAUCCAAGUGGGGGCAUAUGUACAUAAUUUAAGACCUAACUAGGAACAGUUGCAAAAAGUACAACACUAGGAACACUAGGUUCUCUGGCAGGAAUCAAGCCUGUCGCCUUAGGUCUUAAACUGUGUAUAUAUAUGCUUGCUUGGAUUAUCCACUAAACCCAACAUUCUUGUCCAACCAAGUGAAGUGCAAAACACAUCUUUCAAGUUUACCUUAUCAAAAUCCACACACCUGAAAAUCUAUAUAUAACUGAACAUGAACUUGUGGUUGCAGCUUGGCAACUGGCCCAUGCAGCUUAUGUAUCUAUCAAUGUUAAGCCUGGGGGGGGGGCAUGGGGUUGGGAUUUGACAUUUUCCUGAAAAAAAUUGUCAAAAUCCACACCCCAGGGACACCACCAUUGUUCAAAAAAUGGUAAUACUCCCUACCUGAGGAAAUCAAUAUUGGGUCAAAAA